GAUGAACGCUGGCGGCGUGCCUAAUACAUGCAAGUCGAGCGAACAGACGAGGAGCUUGCUCCUCUGACGUUAGCGGCGGACGGGUGAGUAACACGUGGAUAACCUACCUAUAAGACUGGGAUAACUUCGGGAAACCGGAGCUAAUACCGGAUAAUAUAUUGAACCGCAUGGUUCAAUAGUGAAAGACGGUUUUGCUGUCACUUAUAGAUGGAUCCGCGCCGCAUUAGCUAGUUGGUAAGGUAACGGCUUACCAAGGCAACGAUUCGUAGCCGACCUGAGAGGGGGAUCAGACACACUGGAACUAAGACACGGUCCAGACUCCUACGGGAGGCAGCGGUAGGGAAUCUUCCGCAAUGGGCGAAAGCCUGACGGAGCAACGCCGCGUGAGUGAUGAAGGUCUUCGGAUCGUAAAACUCUGUUAUUAGGGAAGAACAAAUGUGUAAGUAACUAUGCACGUCUUGACGGUACCUAAUCAGAAAGCCACGGCUAACUACGUG
rnacentral:rRNA from 1 species